GAUGAACGCUGGCAGCAUGCUUAACACAUCAGCAAUGGAAUGGUGUCGGACAGGGGAGUAACGCGUAAAGAUCUUGCCCCCCAGGUAGGAACAACAUUUGGAGACGAAUGCUAUUACAUAAUACUGUGAGAGAGCUUUGCGGCCUAUUAGCUAGUUGGAGAGGUAACGGCUCACCAAGGCGAUGAUGGGUAGCCGGCCUGAGAGGGUGAUCGGCCACAAGGGGACUGAGACACGGCCCUUACUCCUUCGGGGGGCAGCAGUGGGGAAUAUUGGACAAUGGACCAAAGUCUGAUCCAGCAAUUCUGUGUGCACGAUGAAGUUUUCGGAAUGUAAAGUGCUUUCAGUUGGGAAGCGGUACCAACAGAAGAAGUGACGGCUAAAUACGUGCCAGCCGCCGCGGUAAUAC
rnacentral:rRNA from 1 species